CAGUAGCCGCGGUAAUACAGAGGAUGCAAGCGUUAUCCGGAAUGAUUGGGCGUAAAGGGCGCGUAGGCGGACAUUUAAGUCAGAGGUGAAAGCCCCCGGCUCAACCGGGGAGGGUCAUUGGAAACUGGGAAACUUGAGUGCAGAAGAGGAGAGUGGAAUUCCACGUGUAGCGGUGAAAUGCGUAGAGAUGUGGAGGAACACCAGUGGCGAAGGCGACUCUCUGGUCUGUAACUGACGCUGAGGAGCGAAAGCGUGGGGAGCGAACAGGAUUAGAUACCCCGGUAGUCCCUGUCUCUUAUAC
rnacentral:rRNA from 1 species